rnacentral:antisense_RNA from 3 species
CUUAAUGGUGGCUGUGCGCAUGGCACCCUCGGGUGCGCCGGGAUUUUGGUGGAUUCGCCCGGUCUGCUAACUUGCGUACAGCCGCCACCCUU